AACGAACGCUGGCGGCAGGCUUAACACAUGCAAGUCGAACGGGUGUAGCAAUACAUCAGUGGCAGACGGGUGAGUAACACGUGGGAACCUUCCUAGGGGUACGGAACAACUCAGGGAAACUUGAGCUAAUACCGUAUACGUCCGUGAGGAAAAAGAUUUAUCGCCAUUAGACGGGCCCGCGUCGGAUUAGGUGGGUGGUGGGGUAACAGCAUACCAAGCCUACGAUCAGUAGCUGAUCGUUGAGGACGAUCAGCCACACAGGGACUGAGACACGGCACAGACUCCUACGGGAGGCAGCAGUGGGGAAUCUUGGACAAUGGGCGCAAGCCUGAUCCAGCCAUGCCGCGUACGUGAAGAAGGCCUUCGGGUUGUAAAGCACUUUAGCCUGGAAAGAAAAAACUUUGGUUAACACCCAAAGUCUUGACGGUACCAGGAGAAUAAGCACCGGCUAACUC
rnacentral:rRNA from 1 species